rnacentral:ncRNA from 21 species
AACGUUGAGCUAGGUCAUCGCAUCGUCGUUGAUCCAUCAGCCGGAAGUAGCCCUCCGCAAGGCGAAGCAACGCUCC